UAUAUAUAUAUAUAAAAUAAUAUAUAUCAUUUUAAAAACUUGGGUUGGAUCUGAAUCGGAUCCACCUAUACCCCGAUCGGAUCUGAGUUACUAUUUGGAUUUAGAUUUCGGAUUCGGAUCCAAUUUUUAAUCCAAAUCUUGGAUCCAUAUCCAGAUCCGGAUAGGAUCCAAAUUUUGGGUUUCAGAUCCGGACAGAGUAAAUUCUCAGCCCUGAUCACAAACUAUUCCCCUAACUAUUUGGAUUGCUAAAAACUAUUACUUUGAAGUUCUUGUGUUUUCAAAUUAUGAUGUGGGUGUGCCAUAGACCCUUCAAAUCUCAAUUAUUAAUAAAAACUAGAAGUAGUUUCAGCUUGUUUGUUUUUUUUUUAGUAACUUAUUUGGUUGAUUUUAACAUUAUUUUGGAUUUGCCUCAGACCUAAGUCAAUGCCUGUUGAUCACAUAAUGAGAUUAAGACAAUUCUUUUUAUUGAACCAUUUCUUGUGUUACAACAGUUCUCUUUCUUCUCUAACAAAUGCAUAUAUAUUCUGGUACCAUAAUCUCUAUGGUAGCUAAUUUGCUGUUUUAGCUUUCCAGAGAUGCAUCAUAUGAUACUGCUCUCGGACUCUCUUCUAUGUGGAGCUUUAUUUUUUAUCUCAAAAUUUGAAAUUUAUUAGAUGCUCUCUAUAAUGCAAGAUCAAACUUUUGGAUUAGCAAAUUCACUAAUUGACUUCAUGCCCUUUGUUUUUUCUUCUAGGAUAAAUGAUUAUACAUUUCACUCCUUUUUCCUUUGUGCUCCUUGAGUCGCUCUACUCAAUGAGAAAGAUGAAGCGCUCUCGUGCCUCAAUCAAAGACCAGCGUCGCAUCAGCACUUUGAUCAAUGAUAAACAUGAAUCUUGAAAUGUUGCUUGAAAGCUGAUGUAGAAAUAAACAACAUUCCUACAGAGGAUGAUAUCACUGAAAAUCUUCCAUCUAUUCCAUCUGGAUGCUCCAUUCCUGUCAUGCAUGUCGAUACAGAGCUGCUUGAAGAUGAAUCUUUGCAACUUCUCAAUAAAGACUCCUAUGUAAAUAGUCUUUGGACAGCUUUGCCGGUUCUUACGAAGGAGGAACAAGAUGCUCUUGCAGCAACUCCUACUCAUCUCAACAUGUAGUAGAGUUUUAUUGCUUCUUCCUCUGUUGCUGAAUUGUUACCUGAUAGGAAGAUGGGAUGUGGACUGAAAAUUUACUGGAGAGAACUAUCAAACUUUAAAAUGUUACGUUGGACGCUUUAGUACCAUAUUUGACUUUGAGCUAAUAUUAUUUGGGAAAUGAUGACACUUACCCUCAUCUCUACUUAAAUGUUAAACAAAGAGUUUUUUUUUUC